AAAGCGUGCGCAGGCGGUUGUGCAAGUCUGAUGUGAAAGCCCCGGGCUUAACCUGGGAACGGCAUUGGAGACUGCACGACUAGAGUGCGUCAGAGGGGGGUAGAAUUCCACGUGUAGCAGUGAAAUGCGUAGAGAUGUGGAGGAAUACCGAUGGCGAAGGCAGCCCCCUGGGAUGACACUGACGCUCAUGCACGAAAGCGUGGGGAGCAAACAGGAUUAGAUACCCCAGU
rnacentral:rRNA from 1 species